CAGUCGCCGCGGUAAUACGUAGGUGGCAAGCGUUGUCCGGAUUUAUUGGGCGUAAAGCGAGCGCAGGCGGUUCCUUAAGUCUGAUGUGAAAGCCCACGGCUCAACCGUGGAAGGUCAUUGGAAACUGGGGAACUUGAGUGCAGAAGAGGAGAGUGGAAUUCCAUGUGUAGCGGUGAAAUGCGUAGAUAUAUGGAGGAACACCAGUGGCGAAGGCGACUCUCUGGUCUGUAACUGACGCUGAGGCUCGAAAGCGUGGGGAGCAAACAGGAUUAGAUACCCCCGUAGUCCCUGUCUCUUAUAC
rnacentral:rRNA from 1 species